ACGAACGCUGGCGGCGUGCUUAACACCUGCAAGUCGAACGGAAAGGCCUGCUUUCCCUUGUGGAUUGCGGGUACUCGAGUGGCGAACGGGUGAGUAACACGUGAGUGAUCUGCCCCCAACUUGGGUAUAAGCCUGGGAAACUGGGUCUAAUUCCCGAUAGGACUGCAGGGUGGUGCCUGUGGUGGAAAACGAUUUUCUAGUGGUUGGGGAUGAGCUCGCGGCCUAUCAGCUUGUUGGUGGGGUAAUGGCCUACCAAGGCGGCGACGGGUAGCCGGCCUGAGAGGGUGGACGGCCACAUUGGGACUGAGAUACGGCCCAGACUCCUACGGGAGGCAGCAGUGGGGAAUAUGACACAAUGGGCGGAAGCCUGAUGCAGCGACGCCGCGUGGGGGAUGACGGCCUUCGGGUUGUAAACUCCUUUCGACCGCGAGGAAGCCACCUGGUUGGAAGGGUGGUGACGGUAGUGGUAGAAGAAGCACCGGCUAACUACGUG
rnacentral:rRNA from 1 species